CUUACCAGACGCGCCGAGAGGUAUUGCAUGGCCGACGUCAGCUCGUGCCGUGAGGUGUGCCGCUAAGCCGGUUAACGAGCGAGACCCGUGCCCUCUGUUGCUACCUCCAUCUUAUGGUGGAGGGGCACUCAGAGGGGACUGCCCUCGUUAAGAGGGAGGAAGGUGCGGGCGACGUUAGGUCAGUAUGUUCCGAAUCCCCUGGGCUACACGCGGGCAACAAUGGCCGGGACAAUGGGAUGCGACCCCGAAAGGGGAAGCCAAUCCUCGAAACCCGGUCUCAGUUCAGAUCGAGGGCUGAAACUCGCCCUCGUGACGCCGGAAUCCCUAGUAGUCGAACGUUAGCACCGUUCGGCGAAUACGUCCCUGCUCCU
rnacentral:rRNA from 1 species